rnacentral:lncRNA from 1 species
CUAUAUCUCGUUCAGAAAUCGAAGGAAAAUAAAGAGAUUUGGGCGAUUACGAGACUGAUUCGAACAACUGAUGCUGAAACUGAGUCCGGCACUUAGGUCGCCGGAAAAAGCUUGAACAGAAAUUUGAUUUCUCGCCGCUUUCCCUAUUCCUUCGCCGGAUUCCGUCAAACGCCCUCCAUUUUCAUUUCUCCUUACUGAGUGUGUGUGUGCAAGUGUUUUCCAGCUAUAGCAAGUGUGUGUGUGUGUAUGAAUCGUGAGGUCUGUGUGUUAAUGGUGUGAGGUUAAGAAGAUGAUGGA